rnacentral:lncRNA from 1 species
CUUGAUUCUACUUACUGGGGAUGUUACUAGUCUGACAGCAGCCUAUAAUUACGGAACUGGUGAUUUAGAGGGUGCUUCCAGGAACACCGCUAGAGACGGGAAGUGGGCUGAGCGCAGACUGCUGAUCUUUGGAGCUGAGAAUCUCAAGGGGAAAGCUCUCCCGCCUGCCCCAGGGGACUCCCCUCGCGCCUUCGGGAGGCGGCAGCAAAUGGAGAAAGCGCUCUGCCGCUCACUCGGGCGCCGUUGUCCCGUACUUGCCCGCUGGCAGCCUGCGAGCGGCAGUCUGAAGCCCGGUGAUCCCAGGGCUGCGUUACUAAUGCAGCUUCCAGCUGAGCGUCUCCGUGGCUCGUGGCUUGC